rnacentral:rRNA from 1 species
ACAUGCCAAGUCGAACGARRSCUUCGGSYYUAGUGGCGCACGGGUGCGUAACGCGUGGGAAUCUGCCCUUGGGUUCGGAAUAACAGUKAGAAAUKACUGCUAAUACCGGAUGAUGWCKYMRGWCCAAAGAUUUAUCGCCCRRGGAUGAGCCCGCGUAGGAUUAGCUWGUUGGUGAGGUAARAGCUCACCAAGGCGACGAUCCUUAGCUGGUCUGAGAGGAUGAUCAGCCACACUGGGACUGAGACACGGCCCAGACUCCUACGGGAGGCAGCAGUGGGGAAUAUUGGACAAUGGGCGAAAGCCUGAUCCAGCAAUGCCGCGUGAGUGAUGAAGGCCUUAGGGUUGUAAAGCUCUUUUACCCGGGAUGAUAAUGACAGUACCGGGAGAAUAAGCCCCGGCUAACUCCGUGCCAGCAGCCGCGGUAAUACGGAGGGGGCUAGCGUURUUCGGAAUUACUGGGCGUAAAGCGCACGUAGGCGGCUUUGUAAGUYAGAGGUGAAAGCCYRGRGCUCAACYCYRGAAYUGCCUUURAGACUGCAUCGCUUGAACAUCGGAGAGGUAAGUGGAAUUCCGAGUGUAGAGGUG